rnacentral:lncRNA from 10 species
CUCAAAGAAAAAAAAAAAAAAAAAAAAAAAGAAUCUGGAACGUCCCCUUCUCUCUCUUGUUCCCUCUCUCACCAUGUGACACGAUGGCUCCCUGUCAGCUUCCAGCAUGAUUGUAAGCUUCCCGAGGCCUCACCAGAAGCAGAUGCCAGCACUGUGCUUCGUAUAAAGCCUGCAGAAGCCCAGCCUCAGAUUUUUUUAAUAGUAAUUCAAGAACAGACUCACUAUUUUUCCCCUUUUCACUUCUCAACUAAUAGUGAUAAUAUACUUUGCAAUUACAUUUUCCAAUUUUGCAAUUAAUAGAUGUUAUUUUUUUAUUUCGCAGGUUUUUUCUAAAAAAGUAUAUGAAUGAAGCUGGAGACCUGGUAUGUACAGGAAAUAUGAGAGGUGGUGCUAGAAGACAGACAUCUAUGGAAUGAUCCAUAUCCUUUCAAGUUAUGGGAAUGAAGACCUACUUCAUUAAGAAGCUGGGGGUGAAGUGAGGGUGAGGAGAACACUUAACAACAUUGGGACCAGUCAGGGAAUCCCCUUAUUUCUGUUUCACAUAUGAGGAACCCUAGAGCAGCUAGAUGAGGCUCUCUAGUUUAAUAAAAUCAUGGAAAGAGUCUUAUGAAGGCUCUUCAUAAGUGUUAACAGGGAUUUAUCAGCUUAUUUUUGUUGCAGUUCCCAAUUUCUAAAAAUGUUUAGGUAAUCUUUUCCUUUCCCCAAUCCUAAUUCUUAUAGAUUCACUAGUGUUGAACCAAUGCUUUCUCAUGUCUCAACUCUAUAUAUGCAUUCUUUUCAGAUGUAUUACAUUAAAAAAGCCCUACACACACACACACACACACACACACACACACACACACACACACGACUGAACCAUGAAGAAAUAGCCUCAAUAAACCAAUAAUGAGUAAAAAAAAAAGUCUCCCAUCAAUAAAUAAAAAAUAAGCCCAGGACCUGAUGGCUUCACUGCUGAAUUCUACUCAACAUUUCAAGAACUAACACCAAUUCUACUAAAACUCUUCAAAAAGAUUGAAGACGAGAGAAAACAUCCAAACCCAUUUUAUGAAGCCAGAAUUACCAUGAUACCAAAACCAGACAAGGACAGAAUGAAACAAGAAAACUAUAGGCCGAUAUCACUAAUGAACAUACAUGUAAAAAUUCUCAACAAAUUUUGAGAUACUAGCAAGCCAAAUUCAACAAUAUGUUAAAGACUGUGUGCAGUGGCUCACGCCUGUAAUCCCAGCACUUUGGGAGGCUGAGGCAGGAAGACCGCUUGAGGUCAGGAGUUCAAGACUAGCCUGGCCAACAUGGCGAAAACCCAUCUCUACUAAAAUACAAAAAUCAGAUGUGCAUGGUGGCGCAUGCCUGUAAUCCCAGCUACUCAGGAGGCUAAGGCAGGAGAACCGCUUGAACCAGGGAGGUGGAGGUUGCAAUGAGCCAAGAUCAUGCCACUGCACUCCAGCCUGGAUGACAGAGCAAGACUCUUUCUCAAACAAAACAUUAUAAAGAUCAUUCACCAUAAUCAAGUGAGAUUCAUUACAGGGAUGCAAGGAUGGUUCAACAUAUGCAAAUCAAUAAAUGUGAUAUAUCACAUUAACAGAACCAAGAACAAAAACAAUAUGAUUAUUUAAAUAGAUGCUAAACAAGCACUUGAUAAAAUCCACAUCGCUUUUUGAUAAAAAAAAAACCCUCAUCAAAUUGGGUAUAGAAGGAACAUACCUCAAAAUAAUAAAGGCCAUCUAUGACAAACCCAUAGCUAACAUUAUACUGAACAGGGAAAUACUGAAGGCCUUUUCUCUAAGAUCUAGAACAUGACAAGGAUUCCCACUUUCACCACUUUUAUUCAAUAUAGUACUGGAAGUCCUAGCCAGAGCAAUUACGUAAAAGAAAGAAAGAGCAUCUAAAUUGGAAAGGAAGAAGUCGAAUUAGCCUUGUUUACAGAUGACAUGAUGUUUUACUUAGAAAAAUCCACCAAAAAACUAUUAGAACUGAUAAACAAAUUUAGUAAAGAUGCAAGAUACAAAAUUAACAUACAAAAAUCAGUAGCAUGUAUAUAUGCCAAAAGCAAACAAUUGAAAAAUAAAUCAAGAAUGAAAUUUUAUUUAUAAUAGCUCCAAAGAAUAUAAAACACCUAGCAAUUAAUUUAACCAAAGAUGUGAAAGAUCCACACAAGGAAGACUAUAAAACACUGAUGAAAGAAAUUGAAGAGGACACACAAAAAAUGGAAAGAUAUUCCAUGUUCAUGGAUUGAAAAAUUAAUAUUGUGAGCAUGACACUAACCUUGGCUAUUGACAGAUUCAGUGCAAUCCCUUUCAAAAUACUAAUGACAUUUUUCACAGAAAUUUUAAAAAAUUCUAAAAUAUAUAUGAAACCACGAAAGACCCUAAAUAGCCAAAGCAAUCCUGAGCAAAAAGACCGCAGCUGGAGAUAUCACACUACCUGACUUCAAAAUUUACUAUAAAGGCAUAGUAAUCAACACAGCAUGGUACUGGCUUAAAAAACAGACACAGAGGCCAAUGGAACAGAAUAAAGAAUGCAGAUAUAAACCCAUGCAUUUACAGCCAGUUCAUCUUUGACAAAGGCACCAAGAACAUACAAUGGGGAAAGGACAGUCUCUUCAAUAAAUGAUGCCAGAAAAUUGGAUAUCCAUAUGUUGAAGAAUGAAACUAGACCUCUAUCUCUCACAAUACACAAAAAUCAAAUAUAAAUGGAUUAAAGACUUAAACCUAAAACCUGAAACUAUGAAACUACUAGAAGAAAACAUUGGAGAAACCCUCCAGGACAUUGUCUGGGCAAGGAUUUUUUGUGUAAGACCUUAAAAGCACAAGCAAUGAAAGCAAAAAUAAAUAGGAUUAUAUCAAGCUAAAAAGCUCUGCACAGGAAAAGAAACAAUCAACAAAGUGAAGAGACAACACACAGAAUGGGAAAAAAUAUUUGUGAUCUACCUAUCUGACAAGGGAUUAAUAACGAGAACAUAUAAGGAGCUCAAACAAUAGCAAACACACAUACACACACACAAAUAACCUGAUUAAAAUAUGGGCAAAAGAUCUGAAUAGACAUUUCUCAAAAGAAGACAUGCAAAUGGCCAACAGGUAUAUGAAAAAAUGCUCAACAUCACUACUCAUUAGAGAAAUGCAAAUCAAAACUACAAUAUCCCUCCCCAGUUAAAAUGACUUUUAUCUAAAAGGCAAUAAUAGAUGCUGGCAAGGAUGAGGCAAAAGGGAAACUCUUGUACACUGUUGAUGGGGAUGCAAAUUAGUACAGCCAUUGUGGAGAAUAGUAUAGAGGUUUCCAAAAAACCUAAAAAUAGUACUACCAUAUAAUCCAGCAGUUUCACUACUGGGUGUAUAUCCAAAAGAAAGGAAAUCAAUAUAUUGGAAAAACAAUACACUUAUGUAUAUUGUAGCACUAUUCACAAUGGUCAAAAUAUGAAAUCAACCUAAAUGCCCAUCAGUGGAUGAAUGGAUAAAGAAAAUGUGCUAUAUUUACACGAUGGAACAUUAUUCAACUAUUACAAAAGAAUGAAAUCCUGUCUUUUGCAGCAACAUGGAUGGAACUAGAAGUCAUUAUGUUACGUGAAAUAAGCCAAGCACAGAAAGACAAAUAACACAUGUUUUCACUCAUGUGGGACAUAAAAAAGUGAAUCUCAUGAAAAUAGAGAGUAGGCUGGUGGUCAUCAGAGACCGGGAAGGGUAGGGUGGAAGAGGGGUUUGAAAAGAAGUUGAUUGAUGGGUACAAAUAUAUGGUUUGAUAGAAGAACUGAGAACUAAUGUUAUAUUAGUAUGGUGACUAUAGUUUACAGUAAUGUGUUGUAUAUCUCAAAAUAGCUAGAAGAGAAUUCAAAUGGUUUUAGCAUAAAGCAAAGACAAAUAUUUAAGGUGAUGAAUAUCCCAAGUACACUGAUUUGAUCUUUACAAAUUAUAUGAAUGUAUUAUAUGAUCAUAUCUACUUCUAAACACUAUGAACAUCUAUCACACAUUAGUAAAAAAGGGGAAAAACCCCUGCUGACAUCCUGAUUUUAGCACAGUGAGACCUGUGUCAGAUUUUUGACCUCCAGAAUUGUAA